rnacentral:lncRNA from 1 species
CUGUUCAAUCUGUUAGUUCCUGUAAAAUCAAAAUGCCUUCUUUUUCGAGCGUAGACAACACGGACAGCAAUGGAGCCCAAAAAGUUGUAUCAUGCGUUUAGUAGGCGUCCACAAGUAGUAACUCAUUUCAUCCAAAAAAUUAUUUCUCUUCAUAAGAGUAUUCAAUUAAAUCUUAUUGACUGAUUAUAUCUCUUCAUUUUCCAGAGAAUUCGCAGAAAAAGUCACAGAACCCCUAACAAGUGAUCCACUCGAUCGUAUAUCAUAUGCUCCCGAUAUUUAUAAUCCCGGAACUUCAAAAAGAGCAAAUAAGAAUAUACUAUUGGUUACCUCAGGAGUCGAAACUUCCGACACUAAUGAAGAAGCGAUAUCCUCUUGCCCUCCGAACAAACCUAAAGAAUCUAAAUCAAAAUCAAAACUAGAAUACACAGGAGAGGCCACAGAACCCCCAGCUACUGAUUCACUUCCUCUUACAUCAUAUGCUCCUGAUAUCGCUAAUCCCGGAACUACAAAAAUAGCAAAUAAGAAGGUAUUACUGGAUGACUCAAAAGUAAAAACUUCAGACACGGAUGAAAAAUUGAUAUCCUCUUGCUCUCCGAAAAAACCGAAAAAAUCUAAAUCUAAAAGAAACCUAGAAUGCACAGGAGAAGCCGCAGAACCCCCAAUUACUGAUCUACUUUCCCUUACAUCAAAUUCUUCCGAAAUCUAUAAUCCUGGAACUUCAAAAAGAGCAAACAAGAAUUUACUAAUGGUGGACUCAAAAAGCAAAACUUUUGAUGCUAAUGAAGAAUCGAAACCUUCUUGCCCUCGAAAAAAACCGAAAAAAUCUAAAUCAAAACGAGAAUAUACAGGAGAAGCCACAGAAUCCCCAACAAUUGAUCCAAUCCAUUGUACAUCAAAGGCUCCCGAUAUCUAUAUUUCCGGAAUUACAAAAAGAGCAAAUAAGAAGAUACUACAGGAUGAUUCAGAUGUAAAAACUUCAGACACGUAUGAAAAAUUGACAAAAAGAGCAAAUAAGAAGAUACUACUGGAUGACUCAGAAGUAAAAACUUCAGACACGUAUGAAAGAUUGAUAUCUUCUUGCUCCCUGAAAAAACCGAAAAAAUCUAAAUCAAAAAGAUACCGAGAAUACACUAGAGAAACCAAAGAACGCCCAACAACUGAUCCACUUCAUCUUCCAUCAUAUUCUUCUGAUAUCCAUAAUCCCGGAACUUCAAAAAUAGCAAAGAAAAAUAUACUACUAGUUGACUCAGAAGUCGAAAUUUCUGACGCUGAUGAAAAAUCGACAUCAUAUUGCCCUCCAAAAAAACCGAAAAAAAUCUAAAUCAAAAUCAAAACGGGAAGUAGAAAUAACAUGCUCCGUCAUGGUCCGAGUUCAAGGUCACCUGCGCCCUCCGGAUUGCCUGCAGGUCGCAAGUUUUUGUGUUUUUAUACUUCUGUAGGUCAUUUUUAAUGUAAAUUAUUCAAUGCAAUGCAUAAAAAAAUAAAGCACCCUCAGCCAGUGUCGUAUCAGACGAACACGACGAUCACAAUUUAUUAUAUCGGCUGGAUGCAACUGUUCGGGCACCAUGGUAGUCCAUAUUGCAUACGCACGGAAGCAAAGGAGUUCUGCCUUUCCACUAAUGCACCGCUUCAUCUGAGGAGCGGCGUUGUGUCGGCAGAUUUUACUACGAGGGCCUGAAAACAAUUAUCGCGUUUAAUUGAUCAGUUUUGCUGAUCACAGAAGUCUGUUUCGAUGCUUCAAACUUGUACAUUAGCUAAAUAGAAUCAAAUUUGUUCCAACAGCAACUUUCUACGUCCAAUAUAAACCGAGACAUCUUCUUUUAGAAAGUCGGGUUUUGUGGCGUCAUCCACCGCGAUGGUGACACCCUUUUUUUCUUCCUCUUUGUUUCCAUUAGUCAUGAAUACACCCAUUUCAAAGGGAUUUUCAAAGGGUGACAUCUCGUUUAAUAUUCACGUAAAAAGUUGCUGUUCUAACAGAUGUAAUUCUACUUAGCUAAUGCACAAUAAUCAAGCAUCAGAACACGUUUUGUGACUAGCGCAACUGAUCUAUUCGUCAGUUAUACUACAAAAACAUAUUAAACAUGAAAAAUUGCCAAGUGAAACAUGUUCAGCACAUCGUUUUGUUCAAAACUGUAGAACAGAAUGAACUCUUAUCUCACGCCGGUGUACGACUAUUUUUGCUGGAAAAAUUGUUUUGGUAGCAUACACGAUGAAUUGAAGCGUCUCCGUCAUAUUAAAACCACGCAUUACAGCACAGUUCC